rnacentral:rRNA from 1 species
GAUGAACGCUAGCGGCAGGCCUAAUACAUGCAAGUCGAACGGGAUCCAGAUCAAAGCUUGCUUUGGUCUGGUGAGAGUGGCGCACGGGUGCGUAACGCGUGAGCAACCUACCCUUGUCAGGGGGAUAGCCCGGCGAAAGUCGGAUUAAUACCGCAUGACAUCAUUGAGAGGCAUCUUUCGAUGAUCAAGAUUUAUCGGACAAGGAUGGGCUCGCGUGACAUUAGCUAGUUGGUAAGGUAACGGCUUACCAAGGCUGCGAUGUCUAGGGGCUCUGAGAGGAGAAUCCCCCACACUGGUGCUGAGACACGGACCAGACUCCUACGGGAGGCAGCAGUAAGGAAUAUUGGUCAAUGGACGGAAGUCUGAACCAGCCAUGCCGCGUGCAGGAAGACGGCCCUAUGGGUUGUAAACUGCUUUUAUACGGGAACAAACGUCGGUACGUGUACCGGUCUGAGUGUACCGUAAGAAUAAGGAUCGGCUAACUCCGUG